AUUGAACGCUGGCGGCAGGCCUAACACAUGCAAGUCGAGCGCGCGGCGGACGGGUGUAUAAUGUAUGGGACUCUGCCCGAUAGAGGGGGAACAAUACUGGAAACGAUCGCUUAUCCCGCAUUCUCUCGGUUGCACCCAUAUGGGAUUAGCUAGUAGGUGGGGAACACGCGCACCUAGGCGACGACCUCUAGCUGGUCUGAGAGGAUGACCAGCCACACUGGAACUGAGACACGGUCCAGACUCCUACGGGAGGCAGCAGUGGGGAAUAUUGCACAAUGGGCGCAAGCCUGAUGCAGCCAUGCCGCGUGUAUGAAGAAGGCCUUAGGGUUGUAAAGUACUUUCAGCGGGGAGGCGUUACCCGCAGAAGAAGCACCGGCUAACUCCGUGCCAGCCGCCGCGGUAAUAC
rnacentral:rRNA from 1 species